rnacentral:rRNA from 1 species
CCUACGGGUGGCAGCAGUGAGGAAUAUUGGUCAAUGGACGAGAGUCUGAACCAGCCAAGUAGCGUGAAGGAUGACUGCCCUAUGGGUUGUAAACUUCUUUUAUAUGGGAAUAAAAUGUUCCACGUGUGGGAUUUUGUAUGUACCAUAUGAAUAAGGAUCGGCUAACUCCGUGCCAGCAGCCGCGGUAAUACGGAGGAUCCGAGCGUUAUCCGGAUUUAUUGGGUUUAAAGGGAGCGUAGGUGGAUUGUUAAGUCAGUUGUGAAAGUUUGCGGCUCAACCGUAAAAUUGCAGUUGAAACUGGCAGUCUUGAGUACAGUAGAGGUGGGCGGAAUUCGUGGUGUAGCGGUGAAAUGCUUAGAUAUCACGAAGAACUCCGAUUGCGAAGGCAGUUCACUAGACUGCAACUGACACUGAGGCUCGAAAGUGUGGGUAUCAAACAGGAUUAGAUACCCGAGUAGUC